GUUGUAGCUCAAUGGUAGAGCUCUUGCCUAGUACUUGUGAGGCUCUGGGUUCGAUCCUCAGCAUCACA
rnacentral:tRNA from 1 species